rnacentral:lncRNA from 1 species
CAUAUUCGUGCGAGUCCCGCGGGAAAAAUAACGCACGGGCAGCCAGCACGGGUUGUGGCAGGUGGGUCGUGCCUGGCCCCGCUUUAUGGCGGGGUCGCAACAGCUCAGGCGCAGGAGGAGAGGUGGAGGAUGUCCCUUUCUUGGGCGUUAGCAAGGCCUUCGGCUUAUCUCAAGCAACCUGACAGCAAAUGCCCAGCCGAAGCAUAGCCGAGGCUUUGGAAGUGGCCCAGGUGGUUGCUGCCUGGGGGAUGGCUCGCAUUGCUGCGGUGCCACCCAGCACCCAGGGAAUUCAUCAGGCUUGUUGCAAAGCACAUGGAAGAGGGGGAAAAAACAUGACUGAGGCGAUUAAGACCUGGUUAAUGUGAGAAGCCUAUCAACGUCCUCAGCCCAGCCAAGCAGGUGGAGCUGACUUUUGCCUCCUCUCCCCUCUCCUGCCAAGUCUUAAACAGCUGGGAGCACAGCUACACCGAGCCCCAUCACAGGGGGACAUUACUGGCCUGGACUUUAUUCUCUUUGCAUGUAACACCUGUAAUGAAGUUGUGAUCCCCUGAACCACCCAUUUUUCUGCCUGAGGUCAGUCCUUAUCAGGCGUAGAGGAUGCAACCGGUUGAGUUAGGAAACUGCUAUCGAUCAAGGACAUUUCCGUAGCCACUCAAGACUGAAGUGCCCCCUGGCCACACAGCCUUUUCCUACACAUUAUUGAUAGGAGUGAGCUGCCCUGGUCUCCUGCCUGAUUUACCCAGUACCCCAGU